NNUAAGAGACAGUAACAAAGCUAUCGGGCCCAUACCCCGAAAAUGAUGGUUCAACCCCCUCCCCUACUA
rnacentral:tRNA from 1 species